UUGACAGAAACUGGAGACAAAAGUCUGAAAUCCAUGGCAGAAGUAUCUUAAAAGGAGAUAGAAUAAUUAGAAGAACCUCAAGAAUUUUGGCAGGCUGAGGGUAAUAAAACAGUGAAUGCUGGAACAUGCUUCAGCCUCUAACAAGACAUGGCUCCAGCCCUGUCACCAGCUGCAGUGCCCUCCUUUGGGCACAUUCAAGCUCCUUAACAUCCUUUUUCUACUGUGGAGCUCAGAACUGCACAGAAUUCUCAAGAAGUGUAUCACGUUGGUCCAGACCGUCUGUGCUGACUAUUCCUGAUGAUUUUCUUCUCCUUCGUGUGCCUGGAAAUGGUUUCUAGGAUUAGCUGCUCCAUCAGGAAAGAUUACUGCUUUUCAGAAAAUUCUUUGUAAGUUUGGCUUAAUUUCAUAAAGACUUUUCAAGGUCUCUACUACUGAUGUUUUCAUACCCUAUUUUCCUGCAGCUGAAAUUACUGUUAGAAGCUACGUGCUUAAAUUUCCUGGAACUGCAAAAAUCUGGUGGUCUGCUAUGUGUGUGAAAUGGUGGAGUUGAAUGUUGAUUUAAUGAAUUGUACGUUUGUAUAAUUUUAUCAUAUGGUUUCUUUCUCUAGUUUUUUAGUACAGUCAGCUUUCUGCUCAAAUUUGACCUGGAGGAAAUUACAUGGAAACCCUGGAUGAUAUUGA